UAGAAGACAGACAGCUCUACCAAUUCUCGAAAUAUGUAAAAUCAUAAACACUCCUCACACAGUGAACAAGAGAUCUGACAUUGACAACCUCAGUUCAAUGUAUAUAGGUAUUCUACACACACUUAAAAACAAACAGUCGUACCAAACAAACACAAGAACACAUACAACAAUCCAAUAGCACCCAAUCGACUAGAUCCAUACAAGUUAGGCCUACCCAAUGUCCACUAUUAACCCUCACAAUAUCCACCAUUGCAAUCAACUAAAUUGACCGUUGAUUGAGUAGGAAAAGUGCAAUCCGAAUUCAGAUACAGUUUUUUCGAUGUUUUGCGUUCAGAAAGUAUAAUACUUAAGAAAUUCAGUAUCAGUUAUUACAUAUUAAGCUUUUUUGUAGGUUUUGUGCCAACACUUUUUCAAAUUCAGACGGAUGUUGCUAAAACAGGGCCUUCAGAACGAGAACGAUUAUAAGUUCUAAUUCCCUGAAGAAGGUGUAAUAAACACCGAAACGUUGGAAGCAAGAAAAAUAAUAAUCGUUUGAUUGCUUUGGUGACUGCGAAGCCGAAAAAUUCCCCAGUGAUCUUGAACCU